GGUGAGAAGGGUUCGGGUCUGUCUCCCUGUCUCCUGAGGCUCUGCGGGAGGCAGCCGGGCGGUAUGGACGGUCUCAUCUGCUCUAGGAAAGGUACAGGACUGUCAUGUGAUGCAUCUCCUGCACUGAUCAAAAACAAGUGAGG